ACACACACACACACACACACACACACACACGAAUUCCUUAGCUGGCAGACCAGGCAAGAAGGUGCGAUCUGGUGGAAAGGAGAGCUAGGUGGAGUCCCGGUACGCUCUGUGCUUCUGCAUUUUAAGUUAAGGGCAAGGCUGAUCCAGCUGCUCAACGUGUGCAGCGGAUAGCGAAGGACAGAGGAGUUAUCUGUGGCAAGUACUCAGCCAAGAAAUGGAAGGACCGGCUGAGGCUGGAGGACGAUGUGAUAGCGAAAUAAAGGACAGCAGAAAAGGGGGCCACGGGGAAGCCGAUGACAAGCCCGAGACGCAGCCCAGAAUCUAUUUUGUGACCGUUGACUGACUGUUGGUCGCACUGCGGCACACCGCGCCGUGGCCGAGAGGUCAGAGGAUGACCUUCUGGAACGGACCUCUCCUUCCGUCAUCUGGUCCCCGGGGACUGAACUGUCAGGCUUGGUGGCAAGCCCCUUUUCUUGCGGAGCCAUCUCGAAGGCCCACAACUCAGAUUCUUAAACGGGAAGUGGAGGAUGCCGAGAGACCAAGAACAGCCCAGCUACAGGAGACGUCCACGGUGAGGUCAGCUUGUGUUAAAGAGCCCGGACGGAGGUCUCUACAGCUGCGCUCUCCUUCAGCUGGGUGUGGCUAGUCGCACCGUCAGCCCGGAGCUUGGGAGGAGGGGACAAGGGCAUCAGGAGUUCAAAGCUAGCCUGGGCUACCUGGUGACACUGGGCGCGGUGGCACAUGCGUUAGCAGCAAAGAUUGGCAGAGGCAGCCUGCUCUACAGAGCACAUUCCAGGUCUCAUGAAACAAACAGACAAACGAAACAGAAGAAAGUAAUUUAUUACCACUCAUUUGGCAAUGGCGUGUGUGUGUGUGUGUGUGUGUGUGUGUGUGUGUGUGUGAGCAGGUGUCCUCGCACAUGUGUAACCACCCGUUCAUGUACCGGACAGAGGCUAGAUGAGGGUGUAAGAUGGGCUGCAUUAUCGCUCUCCAGGUUGUCCUCUUGAACAGGGCCUCUCCCUGAACCUGGAUCUCAGCCAGCAACCAGCAAGCCCCAGGAGCCUCUUGUUUCCGCUCGAGCUGGAGUUACAGGAAAACGUGAUCAUUUUAGGAAGACGUGUGAACACAGGAAAAAAGAGCUUCUGUUAACAGAGUCUUCUGUGGACCAGCAAGGUGUCUCAGUGUGGACGGUGCUCUCUGCCAAGCCUGGUGAUCAGAGUUCUAGCUCUGGGACACACUAAAUAAAACUGAGAGAGAGAGAGCGAGAGAGAGAGUGGCUCUUACUGGCACAGCAGACAGGCCCCAGACCCUCAGGGCAAGCUGGCCAAUCUAUUGUGCAAGCCGGGACACUGCCGACAACCAGGGAGGUGGCUCAUUCCUGUAACCCUGGCCUCAGGGAGGUGGAGGCAGGAGGAUCUGAGGCCCACGGUCCUCCUCGAUGCACCGAGUGCUCAGCUCAGCUACUAGAGACUCCGUCCUAAAGGCAAACAGGCCCAAAGCUGUCACUCAGGUGUGCGGCCCUUGCCACUUCGGCUGACGGCCUCAGAAAGUAGUGACUGCCAUCAGGUGUUCUCUGCCCUCCUGCACCCCGCCCCCGCCAAGAGUAAAUACAGAACAGCACGGUCCCAAGUACGGAGGGGCUAGAGAGAUGGCUCGCUGCAGAAAGUAUUUGCUGCGAAGUGUGAGCUUCAAAUGCGUGGAAAUAUUGCUAAAAAUUCCUUCCCUGGGAGAGAUGUAAGCAUGUACCCUUGCCCCUGGGGUCCCAGUAAGUGAAGGAAAUGCGAUUCCACCAAGGCUCACUCAGGGGAGCCGUCAGCGGAUCAGGCUUAUUACAGAGCCACUGGGGCUGUGGGCAAGAGUGUGGUGACCUCAAAGCGGGCACCCUGAGCUCGCUGCAGCAACACACGCCUGUGGUCCCAGCACUCGGAGCAGAGGCCGGUGGAUCUCCGAGAUCCAGGCCAGGGAGGCUCAGGACAUCAAGGCUACACAGAAAAAGCCUGACUCACAAAAUUUGUAGGGCUGGCAAAGGGCUCAACAGCGAAAGGCGCUCCCUAAGCCUCGAAACCUGAAUUUGAUCCCUGGAAACCCUGAAAGGAGGAGAGCUGAGGGCCGACUCUGAAAAGCUUCCCUCUGACCUCCACACCUGGCACUCAAGGCC